rnacentral:rRNA from 1 species
GACGAACGCUGGCGGCGUGCUUAACACAUGCAAGUCGAACGGAAAGGCCCUGCUUUUGUGGGGUGCUCGAGUGGCGAACGCGUGAGUAACACGUGAGUAACCUGCCCUUGACUUUGGGAUAACUUCAGGAAACUGGGGCUAAUACCGGAUAGGAGCUCCUGCUGCAUGGUGGGGGUUGGAAAGUUUCGGCGGUUGGGGAUGGACUCGCGGCUUAUCAGCUUGUUGGUGGGGUAGUGGCUUACCAAGGCUUUGACGGGUAGCCGGCCUGAGAGGGUGACCGGCCACAUUGGGACUGAGAUACGGCCCAGACUCCUACGGGAGGCAGCAGUGGGGAAUAUUGCUCAAUGGGCGGAAGCCUGAUGCAGCAACGCCGCGUGCGGGAUGACGGCCUUCGGGUUGUAAACCGCUUUCGCCUGUGACGAAGCGUGAGUGACGGUAAUGGGUAAAGAAGCACCGGCUAACUACGUG